GACAGAGUGGCAUAGUGGUCUGAGUGUUGGACUAUCACUCUGGAGACCAGGGUUCAAUCCCCCACUUGCCCA